UUAGAACUUGAAGAUUUUUAGUGUUAUGCCUACUCUGCCAAUUCUUGGAACAUUUGCGGAACUGAGAAUUUACUUCUUCGUUUAUUACUUCCUAACUACAUUUUAAAGACUCAUUUGUUCUAGAUUCAGAUCAUUCAACAAAACAUGGCAUGAUUUCCACAGUCUCUGACAUUCUGAUUGCAUUGCUUGAGAAAAUUCUCAGUCUGGGAAUCUCCUUAAAAUGCAGCACAGAUGAUGGCUGAAUAGGAACAGCUCCGGUCUGCAGCUCCCAGCGAGAUCAACGCAGAAGGCGGGUGAUUUCUGCAUUUCCAACUGAGGGUGUAACACUGUGACCAACGAAGAGAGUGUUUUCUAUCAGUGACUCGCAGACUUCCCUUUCACUGGAAUCCAGCUUAUUAGCUGCAUGGUUAACUUUGGAGCCAGGAAAACAUCCUGCACAUGACACUGCCAUCAAGCAGAGGAGACAUGUUUCUCGGCUUCCCCUCUCUGGGACUUAAUAGCCUCUGAAGGCUAGCCUUUACUGACUCAUGAAGCUGUGUCUGCCUGGGGUCAGUGGUGGAGACAUUGCGUUAACCCCAGCAAGCGAGCCAUCACCAGAGCUUUGCACAGGGAGACACCACAUAGAAAGGCAGAUGAGGCAACACACACACCAUCCCCAGACAGCCAUGGGUCCCCAGAGACAGGAAAAAUAUGUGUUUUCUUAAAGAAUUAGAAAAGAAAACCUUGCUUUUUCCUGUGUGGCUCAUUGGUAGGAGAUCUCAAAUUCUAACCCUUGUUUUCUCUUUUACCUCUCUGUCUGCUAAAAAGCACUCCUUAGAUCCAGUAUCUAGCAUGGUGAGCCUCCUGGAUGCAGUGCUGCAGUGGCCACUGCUGGGUCAAAAACAAACACUGGGAAAGGAGGAAAAUGAUGUUUUUCUCUCUUUCAAUAAAGCAUUUGAAAUCUC
rnacentral:lncRNA from 1 species